rnacentral:misc_RNA from 1 species
GAACGCACAUUGCGCCCCUUGGUAUUCCAUGGGGCAUGCCUGUUCGAGCGUCAUUUGUAUCUUCAAGCUCUGCUUGGUGUUGGGUGUUUGUCUCGCUUUGUGCGUGGACUCGCCUUAAAGCAAUUGGCAGCCGGCGUACUAGUCUGGGAGCGCAGCACAAUUUGCGCCUCUGAACCUGAACGCUUGCGUCCAUGAAGUCUAUACUUUUGCUUUUGACCUCGGAUCAGGUAGGACCACCCGCUGAACUUAAG